rnacentral:rRNA from 1 species
GACGUAGGGCGCGAGCGUUGUCCGGAUUUAUUGGGCGUAAAGAGCGCGUAGGCGGUCCGAUAAGUCGGUUGUGAAAACUGGGGGCUCAACCCUCAGAGGCCGACCGAUACUGUCGGGCUAGAGUGCGGAAGAGGCGAGUGGAAUUCCUGGUGUAGCGGUGAAAUGCGCAGAUAUCAGGAGGAACACCAAUUGCGAAGGCAGCUCGCUGGGACGUAACUGACGCUGAGACGCGAAAGCGUGGGGAGCAAACAGG